rnacentral:tRNA from 1 species
GAGGGAAUAGCUCAGUUGUAGAGCCUGUGCUUAGGGUUAGCAUGCCCGAGGUCCUGGGUUCAAUCCCCAGUACCUCCA